CAGGUACCGCUCCAGGUCCCGU
rnacentral:miRNA from 1 species